UUAAAAGCAAUGUUGAGGGUAUUUGUUUUAAGAAUUUGUAUUAUUCUAAAAUUAUACUAUGAGCUAUUAAUCAUAUAUAGACAAAAGUAGUGAGUGAUGAAAUGGUGCACACAUGCAUAGGUUGUAAGGAAACAAAGUUCAAUUUUCUUCUUUUUCUUAAUUUCCCCUUUUCAUGAGAAAAAGUAGAAUCACUAGGAGUGUGUUGGGCAAAUAGAAAGAUGAUGCAUGCAAAGCUUUAAUAAUGUCUUUUAAGCUCUGCCUACGACGACGAGGACAUUGGUAUGCGUUAAACCUUUGCUACAAGGAUAUGUAGCACACGUGAUUUCCCUGAGAGCCAAAGCAUAGAUAUACUGCAAAUUAAGUGAAGAGCUUUGGAUAGAUUGAAAUUUUUGGAAAAGUGCUUUUAAGAUACAACAUCCUUUUCUUAAAAGCAGUUUUAUUUUCUUUGGUUUACAAAAUUUCCCUGUCUACCACCUAAUGAGCAUCAUGAAAAUUUCUUUUUGUUCUUUUAAAGCCCUAAAGGGUGAAAUUAUGAAAAUCAAAGAGAAUAUAAUCAUUUGUUGA